ACUCCUACGGGAGGCAGCAGUGGGGAAUAUUGCACAAUGGGCNCAAAGCCNGAUGCAGCUAUGCCGCGUGUGUGAAAGAGGCCUUCGGGUUGUAAAGCACUUUCAGUAGGGAGGAAGGUAGUGUAGUUAACACCUGCAUUAUUUGACGUUACCUACAGAAGAAGCACCGGCUAACUCCGUGCCAGCAGCCGCGGUAAUACGGAGGGUGCGAGCGUUAAUCGGAAUUACUGGGCGUAAAGCGCAUGCAGGCGGCCUGUUAAGUCAGAUGUGAAAGCCCGGGGCUUAACCUCGGAAUUGCAUUUGAAACUGGCAGGCUAGAGUCUUGUAGAGGGGGGUAGAAUUUCAGGUGUAGCGGUGAAAUGCGUAGAGAUCUGAAGGAAUACCAGUGGCGAAGGCGGCCCCUGGACAAAGACUGACGCUCAGAUGCGAAAGCGUGGGGAGCAAACAGGAUUAGAUACCCUGGUAG
rnacentral:rRNA from 1 species